rnacentral:rRNA from 1 species
AUAGGUUAAUGAGGCGAACCGGGGGAACUGAAACAUCUAAGUACCCCGAGGAAAAGAAAUCAACCGAGAUUCCCCCAGUAGCGGCGAGCGAACGGGGAGGAGCCCAGAGCCUGAAUCAGUGUGUGUGUUAGUGGAAGCGUCUGGAAAGGCGCGCGAUACAGGGUGACAGCCCCGUACACAAAAAUGCACAUAUUGUGAGCUCGAUGAGUAGGGCGGGACACGUGGUAUCCUGUCUGAAUAUGGGGGGACCAUCCUCCAAGGCUAAAUACUCCUGACUGACCGAUAGUGAACCAGUACCGUGAGGGAAAGGCGAAAAGAACCCCGGCGAGGGGAGUGAAAAAGAACCUGAAACCGUGUACGUACAAGCAGUGGGAGCCUCUUAAUGGGGUGACUGCGUACCUUUUGUAUAAUGGGUCAGCGACUUAUAUUCUGUAGCAAGGUUAACCGAAUAGGGGAGCCGAAGGGAAACCGAGUCUUAACUGGGCGUUAAGUUGCAGGGUAUAGACCCGAAACCCGGUGAUCUAGCCAUGGGCAGGUUGAAGGUUGGGUAACACUAACUGGAGGACCGAACCGACUAAUGUUGAAAAAUUAGCGGAUGACUUGUGGCUGGGGGUGAAAGGCCAAUCAAACCGGGAGAUAGCUGGUUCUCCCCGAAAGCUAUUUAGGUAGCGCCUCGUGAAUUCAUCUCCGGGGGUAGAGCACUGUUUCGGCAAGGGGGUCAUCCCGACUUACCAACCCGAUGCAAACUGCGAAUACCGGAGAAUGUUAUCACGGGAGACACACGGCGGGUGCUAACGUCCGUCGUGAAGAGGGAAACAACCCAGACCGCCAGCUAAGGUCCCAAAGUCAUGGUUAAGUGGGAAACGAUGUGGGAAGGCCCAGACAGCCAGGAUGUUGGCUUAGAAGCAGCCAUCAUUUAAAGAAAGCGUAAUAGCUCACUGGUCGAGUCGGCCUGCGCGGAAGAUGUAACGGGGCUAAACCAUGCACCGAAGCUGCGGCAGCGACGCUUAUGCGUUGUUGGGUAGGGGAGCGUUCUGUAAGCCUGUGAAGGUGUGCUGU